rnacentral:sRNA from 1 species
ACGUUUUUUAAUGGAUCGGUGCAAAAUCUGUAAAUCUGCAAAUCUCCAGCCAUUACUUCCGUUUCUAUGCAGCCUAGGACUACUAGUUGAAGCAAAUCAAUGGGAAGAAGCUGCUCGCAGCCAGUUCACAUUGUCUAGAUGAACUGACACGAAAGUAGCUCAUGUGAGCGAAUAUGUUCUGUCUGUUCCUGCGGUAUAUUUAUAUUUCUAUCCAAUGAAAUGAAUAUGAGCAGGGCAACUUGAGACUACAAUUGAGCAGUAUUUUGGGAGUACGAUCACAGACAUUCAGCGUUUUUGCCCAAGAUCUAGUAUUAGUCC